GUUUUAAUGCACCAAGUAUCCGGAACUUAAUAGCACUUUUUUUCCCCAGGCAAAAAAAUAUUUUUAACAAGGUUUUAGUUUUUAAAAAAAAAAAGUGUAAUUGACUGUAUAUUACAUGGGGUUGUCUGUUGAAUGUUUAAAGCAUCUUGAGCUGCUUUACCAUUGGAAAGGUGGUAUAAGUCCUUUCUGUAGGCGAUAAAGGUCAUGGCACUUAAUGGAUGGAUAGAUAGCUUUGGCACUUAAGACGAGCGCGAGACUAAAGCCAGGCAGCCACGUAGCGCGAGCUCUGCCGAGAAUCUCCAGCUUUAGCACGGUAAACAGUGGAGGGCGGUAGUUGCAGAAGAAACUCAUUAUUCCGCACAGAACGCAUGCAAACAGCUGUAAAAGAUCCAUACGUGCUCGCUCAUAUCGCCGAGGUGAUCUCUAUUUCGAUUUGCAAACCAUAUUGAUUUCUCCGAUUAUUCUUUCACGCCCGUGGAGCUCGCGCUCUGCAACUCCGAGUGCUCGCGAUGACGGAGAGGGCGCUCGUGCUUCGGGUGAGUAGUCCAGCGGAGACCGGAGCUCGCCACAACUUCUAUUUCCCCUCCACCCCCCUUUCAUUUGCAAUUAUUUACAAAACAAUAACAAUAAUGACAUCCGUUCGUCUGUCGCGAAACGGCACAGAAAUCCUCGCACGAGGAUCUGCAAAGCAUCCACACACUGGUCUACUCCAUUGAUUUCUGAAGGUCAGUGAGAUCAUUAUAAAGCCACCCGCGCCUCAUUGUGCGUUCUUCAGAUGAAUGCGAUGUUUAAAUGCUAUAACUUCUCAUAAAAUCAUUCCUUGAAAACACACACAUAUAGCCCGCUUCACACACAGUUCCACAGAACUCACUCAGAUUGAAAGCUGUGGUUUCAGUGCUUUUCUGAAUCUUACAACUGCCAACUGAAGGUUCGCUAUACAUUCUGACUAUAUACAUUAGUAAAUAUUGGUUUCGGUUUGUCUGCCAAUUUCCUGAGCACACGCGCGUUCACACGGACUAGCGAUGAUAAACAACUGCAAAAUGUAAAGGUGCUGCCAAAUACCAAUGUAAUGUUAAUUCCACACGUUGACUGUGAAGGAGUGCUGUACGUUUGAUUGGUUGUACAGUAAAAAUCCAUAGUUCAUGGAUCAACUCUGCUUCUCUGAAAAUGAGUGUUGAUACGAAUAAUGGUUUACACCCAUCAGCCAUAACAUUUAAAACCACCUACCGAGUAUUGUAUCGGUUCCCCCUUGUGCCGCUACAACAGCUCUGACUCAUCGAGGUGUGGACUCCACAAGACCUCUGCAGGUGUGCUGUGGUAUCUGGCACCAAGAUUUUAGCAGCAGAUUCUUUAAGUCCUGUCAGUUGCGAGGUGGGGCCUCCUUCCAUGGAUUGGACUUGUUUUGUCCAGCACAUCCCACAGAUGAUGCUCAAUCGGAUUGAGAUCCGGGGAACUUUGAGGCCAAAUCAACACCUUGAACUCUGUCAUGUUCCUCAAAACAUUCCUGAACAGUUUUUGUAGUGUGCCAGAACGCAUUAUCCUGCUGAAAGAGGCCAUUAGGGAAUGCCGUUGCAACUAAGGGGUGCACUUGGUCUGCGAUAAUGUUUAGGUAGGUGGUACGUGUCAUAGUAACAUCUACAUGAACGCCAGGGGCCCAAGGUUUCGCAGCAGAACAUUGCCCAAGGCAUCACACUGCCUUGGUGCCAUCUCUUCCCCCUGGUAAGUAAUGCACAGAUCUAAAAGAAAACGAGAUUCAUCAGACCAGGCCACCUUCUUCUGUUGCUCAAUGGUUCGAAUCUAAUGCUCACGUGGCCGUUGUAGUUGUAGGUUCUUUUGGAGGUGGAUAAGGUCAGCAUGGGGUACUCUGACCAGUCUUGGCUACAUAGCCCCAUAUGGAGCAAGCUGCGAUGCACUCUGUUUUGACACCUUUCUGUCAUUAACAUUCUCAGCAAUUUGUGCUACAGUAGUUUUUCUGUGGGAUCGGACCCCUGUCACCGGUUCACCAGUUAUCCUAACUCGGAACACUUUUGGUAGGUACUACCACUGCAUACCGUGAACACCCCACAAGACCUGUUGUUUUGGAGUUGCUCUGACCCAGUCGUCUAGUCAUCACAGUUUGGCCCUUAAUCGCUCAGAUCCUUAUGCUUGCCCAUUUUUCCUGCUUCCAACACAUCCACUCCAAGAACUGAUGGUUGAGUUGCUGCAUAAUAUAUCUAAUAUAUGAUAUACAUCAUUUGACUGGCACCAUUGUAACUACAUAAUCAAUGUUAUUCACUUCACCUAUCAGACUUUUUAUGCUAUGGCUGAUUAGUGUAUGUCCAAGCAGUAUUAUUGGUUGAAUAUUAAUGAUGAACUCCACCCUAAAAAUGUUCAUAUUGAAGUAUUUGUGAUGUGCUUACAAGUCUGGUGUUAAUUUGUUGAUUUUCAACGAUAUCAGAAAAACAGAUAUUGGUUAAGUUUCGCUGUUCGUU
ensembl:lncRNA